rnacentral:rRNA from 1 species
CACGUAGGGGGCGAGCGUUGUCCGGAUUUAUUGGGCGUAAAGAGCGCGUAGGCGGCCGUGCAAGUCGGUUGUGAAAUCCCGGGGCUCAACCCCGGGACUGCGUCCGAUACUGCACGGCUCGAGGCAGGUAGGGGAGAGUGGAAUUCCCGGUGUAGCGGUGAAAUGCGCAGAUAUCGGGAGGAACACCGGUGGCGAAGGCGGCUCUCUGGACCUGUCCUGACGCUGAGGCGCGAAAGCUAGGGGAGCGAACAGG